rnacentral:rRNA from 1 species
GACGAACGCUGGCGGCGUGCUUAACACAUGCAAGUCGAACGGUGAAGCGCCUUCCUUUUUGGUGGGUGUGGAUGAGUGGCGAACGGGUGAGUAACACGUGAGUAACCUGCCCCCUUCUUCUGGAUAACCGCAUGAAAGUGUGGCUAAUACGGGAUAUUCUGGGUCUGUCGCAUGAUGGGUCUGGGAAAGAUCUUGUUUCGGUGGGGGAUGGGCUCGCGGCCUAUCAGCUUGUUGGUGGGGCGAUGGCCUACCAAGGCGGUGACGGGUAGCCGGCCUGAGAGGGUGGACGGUCACACUGGGACUGAGACACGGCGAAGACUCAGACGGGAGGCAGCAGUGGAGAAUAUUGCACAAUCGGAGCAAGCCUGAUGCAGCGACGCCGCGUGAGGGAUGGAGGCCUUCGGGUUGUGAACCUCUUUCGCCAGUGAAGCAGGCCUGCCUCGUUUGUGGGUGGGUUGACGGUAGCUGGAUAAGAAGCGCCGGCUAACUACGUG